AAUAAUGGCUAUUUAUCCUUGUGCUCCACGGUGGCGCACUGAGACCAAAGGUUUACCAUUGAUCUCGGUCCCAUCUGGUUUUGGUUAUGAGGUUCAUUAACAAUAAAUGUGCCUCUUUUAACCACUUUUUAUCAAGAUUACUCUUUCCAAUACAUUAAACUGUAGUCUAAAGCCAAAAUUAGCGGUGAUUAUUAACUUACUCAAAACACUCUUUAUAAUGCUUCAUGUGGGUUAUAAUACAGAACUACUUUUCCUGAAAUUGGCUGCCUUACCCUAAAGCAGAAGAUGAAUUUUAAAGCAUAUGAUUUGAAAAGAAAAUACUUAACCCGUGUAGCAAUUUAAGUGCCAAAAAAAUAAAAAAGAGAGAGAGGAUGAGUAGGCAACAGCAUCAAAGUUAAUGCUACAAAACGUAUUAAGUAGUCAUGAGGCUUAACAGCAUUAUAAACUGUGAAGUGAUAGAUGAUAAUUUAGUUAAUGUAUUGACAAUCAAAACAUCAUAUAGGUCAUGCAAAAUUGUCCUUCGAAUGAAUACCCACCUAUAAGCAGCUAUUAAACACUCAGUCAUCUUGUAAAAAGCUUUACAUUAUAAA
rnacentral:lncRNA from 1 species